rnacentral:rRNA from 1 species
ACGCACGCUGGCGGCAGGCUUAACACAUGCAAGUCGAACGCACCUUUCGGGGUGAGUGGCAGACGGGUGAGUAACGCGUGGGAAUCUACCCUUCUCUACGGGAUAGCUCCGGGAAACUGGAAUUAAUACCGUAUACGUCCUGAGGGAGAAAGAUUUAUCGGGGAAGGAUGAGCCCGCGUUGGAUUAGCUAGUUGGUGGGGUAAAGGCCUACCAAGGCGACGAUCCAUAGCUGGUCUAAGAGGAUGAUCAGCCACAUUGGGACUGAGACACGGCCCAAACUCCUACGGGAGGCAGCAGUGGGGAAUAUUGGACAAUGGGCGCAAGCCUGAUCCAGCCAUGCCGCGUGAGUGAUGAAGGCCCUAGGGUUGUAAAGCUCUUUCAGUGGGGACGAUAAUGACGGUACCCACAGAAGAAGCCCCGGCUAACUUCGUG